GGGUCGGCCCGCCUACUGGAGUGAGGCAACUGCCUGUAAAGCAGCCGCUUAAAGCGUUGCUGGUUCGAGUCCAGCCCGACCUACCA
rnacentral:tRNA from 1 species